rnacentral:rRNA from 1 species
CAGUAGCCACGGUAAUGCGUAGGUGGCAAGCGUUGUCCGGAAUUAUUGGGCGUAAAGCGCGCGCAGGUGGUUUAAUAAGUCUGAUGUGAAAGCCCACGGCUCAACCGUGGAGGGUCAUUGGAAACUGUUAAACUUGAGUGCAGGAGAGAAAAGUGGAAUUCCUAGUGUAGCGGUGAAAUGCGUAGAGAUUAGGAGGAACACCAGUGGCGAAGGCGGCUUUUUGGCCUGUAACUGACACUGAGGCGCGAAAGCGUGGGGAGCAAACAGGAUUAGAUACCCCCGUAGUCCCUGUCUCUUAUAC